rnacentral:rRNA from 1 species
UGGGGAAUUUUGGACAAUGGGCGAAAGCCUGAUCCAGCAAUGCCGCGUGUGUGAAGAAGGCCUUCGGGUUGUAAAGCACUUUUGUCCGGAAAGAAAUCCUCUGGGUUAAUACCUCGGGGGGAUGACGGUACCGGAAGAAUAAGCACCGGCUAACUACGUGCCAGCAGCCGCGGUAAUACGUAGGGUGCAAGCGUUAAUCGGAAUUACUGGGCGUAAAGUGUGCGCAGGCGGUUUUGUAAGACGGAUGUGAAAUCCCCGGGCUUAACCUGGGAACUGCAUUCGUGACUGCAAGGCUAGAGUAUGGCAGAGGGGGGUAGAAUUCCACGUGUAGCAGUGAAAUGCGUAGAGAUGUGGAGGAAUACCGAUGGCGAAGGCAGCCCCCUGGGCCAAUACUGACGCUCAUGCACGAAAGCGUGGGGAGCAAACAGGAUUAGAUACCCUGGUAGUCCACGCCCUAAACGAUGUCAACUAGUUGUUGGGGAUUCAUUUCCUUAGUAACGUAGCUAACGCGUGAAGUUGACCGCCUGGGGAGUACGGUCGCAAGAUUAAAACUCAAAUGAAUUGACGGGGUCAUAGCUGUUUCCU